AACAUUAGUUUGGUUGGCUGUAAUGGUAAUACAGUUCGAAUCCAUUCAGGUUCUAUUACGGGAAAACGCUGAAUAGGCAUUCCCUUCCUUCAUCGCUGAAUAGCCAUUCCAUUCCACGGGAGUAUUUUUUUCCCUUUUCAUUUUUUGCCCUCAGCUUCAUCUUCUUCUUUCCUUUCCAUCUCCGCGCUUCCCUUUUUUCCUUCUUAUUUCCCUUUAUCUUAUUUCCCUUUUUUCCUUCAUUACUGAUGUUGAAAUUCCGCUGAAAGAACCAUAAAAAAGACAUCAAUAUCAGCUUCAAGAAUCAGAGGAGAGAAAUUCAAGAUUGCUCCUUUUUCUCUCUAUAAAUUAAUUAUUAUUAUCGAAAAUGGCUAUUUCCUCUGUUUAUUUGUUAAUCAACAAUGAGCGAUCAAUCGGAGGAAUUGCCUCUCAUGGCUCCCCCACCGACACCAACCCCAACGAGAUCGACCUCGAGGUCGGUCCAGCCGAUCAAAUUCAGUGUCGAAUUUGCCUCGAAACCGACGGUAGAGAUUUUAUUGCUCCUGGCAAGUGCAAAGGAACAUCAAAAUAUGUACAUCGGGAAUGUUUAGAUCAUUGGCGAGCUGUAAAGAUGUGAGAAAGGGAUAACAUCUAACUUAUUAGAUGUACCUUAUUAGAUGUUGAGAAUGCGCUUACGAAGUUCACAUGGGCUAAAGAAGUUCAUAAGAAGAUGGUUAAGCUGAAAGAGGAAGGCAAACCGAUGCCAAAGAACUUUGCUGAGGUGCAAAAGCUAAUGGGUUCAACACCAUUGGAUCUUGCCAAGUUUAAUAUGGUAAAGAGUGGAGAAAUGAGUCGUAAUGCUCCUUGUCCAUGUGGUUCCAAGAAGAGAUACAAAAGGUAAUUUGGCACAUUAUUUCCCAGCGAUCUGUGUUGCUGUAAGUAGCUCAUAACCUGGACGCAGUGCUUAAGAGAUUUUAUGUCCUCAACCAUAGAAUGUUUUUCCAGUGCCAGUGUUGUUCCCUUCAAGUAGCACAAUUUGUUUAUCUUCUUUCAUAAGAAGUUUCGCUUUGUGAGCUAGUUCCGUUUUGAUACUUAUAUGUUGUUGGGGUCUACUUUAAUAUCUAACUUUACAAGUAGGUCUAGUUUGACUAUGAAUUUAUAUUCCGUCCAAAUUUAAUGAUGUGAGACAAUCUUAAAGUGUUAUGUCAAUAAAAUUUUAUAUAUUUCAAGUUCAAAGAUUAAAA